rnacentral:rRNA from 1 species
GUGUGACUGCGUACCUUUUGUAUAAUGGGUCAGCGACUUAUAUUCUGUAGCAAGGUUAACCGUAUAGGGGAGCCGCAGGGAAACCGAGUCUUAAUUGGGCGUUAAGUUGCAGGGUAUAGACCCGAAACCCGGUGAUCUAGCCAUGGGCAGGUUGAAGGUUGGGUAACACUAACUGGAGGACCGAACCGACUAAUGUUGAAAAAUUAGCGGAUGACCUGUGGCUGGGGGUGAAAGGCCAAUCAAACCGGGAGAUAGCUGGUUCUCCCCGAAAGCUAUUUAGGUAGCGCCUCGUGAAUUCAUCUCCGGGGGUAGAGCACUGUUUCGGCUAGGGGGCCAUCCCGGCUUACCAACCCGAUGCAAACUGCGAAUACCGGAGAAUGUUAUCACGGGAGACACACGGCGGGUGCUAACGUCCGUCGUGAAGAGGGAAACAACCCAGACCGCCAGCUAAGGUCCCAAAGUCAUGGUUAAGUGGGAAACGAUGUGGGAAGGCCCAGACAGCCAGGAUGUUGGCUUAGAAGCAGCCAUCAUUUAAAGAAAGCGUAAUAGCUCACUGGUCGAGUCGGCCUGCGCGGAAGAUGUAACGGGGCUAAACCAUGCACCGAAGCUGCGGCAGCGAACGUAUCACUUAAAGCGAUUCAGCGGGUUACGAUUGACGGAGCGAAGCGACGUCAAAGCGUAUACAAAGUCGAGUCGGUUUAAGGAUACGUUCGUUGGGUAGGGGAGCGUUCUGUAAGCCUGUGAAGGUGUGUCGUGAGGCAUGCUGGAGGUAUCAGAAGUGCGAAUGCUGACAUAAGUAACGAUAAAGCGGGUGAAAAGCCCGCUCGCCGGAAGACCAAGGGUUCCUGUCCAACGUUAAUCGGGGCAGGGUGAGUCGACCCCUAAGGCGAGGCCGAAAGGCGUAGUCGAUGGGAAACGGGUUAAUAUUCCCGUACUUGGUGUUACUGCGAAGGGGGGACGGAGAAGGCUAUGUUGGCCGGGCGACGGUUGUCCCGGUUUAAGCGUGUAGGUGUGUGUUCCAGGUAAAUCCGGUUCACUUUAACACUGAGGCGUGAUGACGAGGCACUACGGUGCUGAAGCAACAAAUGCCCUGCUUCCAGGAAAAGCCUCUAAGCAUCAGGUAACAUCAAAUCGUACCCCAAACCGACACAGGUGGUCAGGUAGAGAAUACCAAGGCGCUUGAGAGAACUCGGGUGAAGGAACUAGGCAAAAUGGUGCCGUAACUUCGGGAGAAGGCACGCUGACAUGUAGGUGAAGUGAUUUACUCAUGGAGCUGAAGUCAGUCGAAGAUACCAGCUGGCUGCAACUGUUUAUUAAAAACACAGCACUGUGCAAACACGAAAGUGGACGUAUACGGUGUGACGCCUGCCCGGUGCCGGAAGGUUAAUUGAUGGGGUCAGCGCAAGCGAAGCUCCUGAUCGAAGCCCCGGUAAACGGCGGCCGUAACUAUAACGGUCCUAAGGUAGCGAAAUUCCUUGUCGGGUAAGUUCCGACCUGCACGAAUGGCGUAAUGAUGGCCAGGCUGUCUCCACCCGAGACUCAGUGAAAUUGAACUCGCUGUGAAGAUGCAGUGUACCCGCGGCAAGACGGAAAGACCCCGUGAACCUUUACUAUAGCUUGACACUGAACAUUGAGCCUUGAUGUGUAGGAUAGGUGGGAGGCUUUGAAGCGUGGACGCCAGUCUGCGUGGAGCCGGCCUUGAAAUACCACCCUUUAAUGUUUGAUGUUCUAACGUGGACCCGU